AAAGUCCCGCAAGGGAUGAGUAGAGUGGCAAACGGGUGAGUAACACGUGGGUGACCUGCCUUCGAGUGGGGGAUAACGUCCCGAAAGGGACGCUAAUACCGCAUGACAUCCUGCUUUUUAAGAGGUGGAGAUCAAAGCUGGGGAUCGCAAGACCUGGCGCUUGAAGAGGGGCCCGCGCCUGAUUAGCUAGUUGGUGGGGUAAUGGCUCACCAAGGCAACGAUCAGUAUCCGGCCUGAGAGGGCGGACGGACACACUGGGACUGAGACACGGCCCAGACUCCUACGGGAGGCAGCAGUGGGGAAUUGUUCGCAAUGGGCGCAAGCCUGACGACGCAACGCCGCGUGGAGGAUGAAGACCUUCGGGUCGUAAACUCCUUUCGAUCGAGACGAAUGGCCUCCGGCUGAAUACGCCGGAGGAGUGACGGUACCGAGAGAAGAAGCCCCGGCUAACUCCGUGCCAGCAGCCGCGGUAAUACGGGGGGGGCAAGCGUUGUUCGGAAUUACUGGGCGUAAAGGGCUUGUAGGCGGCCAACUAAGUCAGACGUGAAAUCCCUCGGCUUAACCGGGGAACUGCGUCUGAUACUGGAUGGCUCGAGGUUGGGAGAGGGAUGCGGAAUUCCAGGUGUAGCGGUGAAAUGCGUAGAUAUCUGGAGGAACACCGGUGGCGAAGGCGGCAUCCUGGACCAAUACUGACGCUGAGAAGCGAAAGCCAGGGGAGCAAACGGGAUUAGAUACCCCGGUAGUCCUGGCCCUAAACGAUGAAUGCUUGGUGUGGCGGGUAUCGAUCCCUGCCGUGCCGAAGCUAACGCAUUAAGCAUUCCGCCUGGGGAGUACGGUCGCAAGGCUGAAACUC
rnacentral:rRNA from 1 species